AGCUUAAACGCAGAUCCAAUGGCGGAUGAUCCAUUUCCGUCUCGAUCGUGUAUGUGAACGACGCCGUUUCCUUGCAUUCGCUUAUAAAGUUGAGAUUCCUGAGAACCAACCGGAAAGGCUUGGUGCCAACGCACGCUUUAUAAAUGAGAUCUUGUCAUCUGGACGAACGGCGUCGCUUUCAUCAACGGAGACUCUGCGGCGCUUCUGCCUUUCCCUGGCUUUGUGGUUCUGGAACCAGUAAAAGACGUUUUUGCUCUCGAUCUUGCCGUAAAAGCUCAGCUGGGAUGAGAUCUUCUGAAUCUGGUCAGUGCUCGGCGUUCGGAGUCCAGACCUGAACAGAUCAGUCAGAACUUUAACCUGUUCAGUAGUCGGAUUCCAACGCCCACACUUGGUUCCACCACCGCCAUUGCCGCAGCCACCUCCACCAGCUUUAAUAACAAAGCCUGACAUAGCCUCGUCCAUAUUCGAUCUUCUUCAACUCUCAAGUCUCAACUUUUGAUUCUGAGCCUCUGAACUCAAAAGAUACUAGUUCGUGUGCAUAAUAUAUAAUCGAAGAAGAGCAGAAUCGGGCUUUUGUUUAUACCAGUGGUGCUUUGAUUUUAGGGAAUGUGAGAUGGAACUGUGAGGAUUCGAUCGCUUUGUUUUUGCCUGGUUUUUUGUGAGAGAGCGGAGACAUGCGCAAAAGCUGCCACUGUUCAACGUUUCGGUCGGCGCGCAGACAAGAGGUAAGCUUCACACAUUUUCAAUUAUUUAUUCCAAUUUCAUUAUAUAAAUAUUCUCUAGGUUUGAGUCGGCAUCCGGAUGUGGCACUUGCUGCCAGUAAAUGACUUGAGGACAUAUGAGUACAUCCAAGCUUUGUCUAUAAACUAGUAGAUGUCUGCUAAAGAUCAUUUGUUCAAAUUGAAUGGAUGAUUGGGGAAGAAGAUUGAUGUGAGUGGAAAGUCAAAGUUAGUAUUGUCUGAUCUUAGCUGGACGGUUGUGAUCGAAACUACUGACACACGAUUGCAGACAAAAGAUGUAGGGUUAAACCUUCUUUUAACGAUGUAGGACAAAAAAUCAGAAGACAAUGAAGCCAUAAAACUGAGAUUUGGGAGAGACAACUCAUGACCAACUAAAAGGUAAGCAAUUUGGCUUUUCUUAUGUAUUGUGCCUCUUGUCUCUACCAGUUCUAUGCAUAUAGAUAUUUAUCCUUUGUUUAUUCAUGGUGGCUUCAUCUUUUGGUUUAUUUAAUGAACUUGAAAAUGACAGAUUUUCAUUCCUAUUUUGAUCAUAGAUAAGUAAACUGUUUUCAUGUUUGAUCCUCUAAUUUGACCAGUCUUGGUAUUUAGCAGUUUUAAACCUCUUGAGAGAUUGGCAACCAUGAGAAACAAUGCAACUUCUGACAUGAGACAAGAUAAAUUGAGAGUUAAUUUCAUGUACAAUAACUUUC